AUGAGACCAGACUGGUAUUUCCUGCUGAAAAAAAAAUUAAAUGAGUUAAAAUCUUGAAUGACUGCUUUUACUGCACAAGAGAGGGGAUAUGAUUGAGGCCUGCUUCAGUUUUUUUCAUAUAGGUCAGUGUAAAAUGAUUCUGUGGCUAAUGAUGGACAGCUACUACAGGAUGUCUCUCUUCUUGGUAAAAAGGUACAGAAGAGAUCUGUUGUUUCAAGAACUCUUAAGAAUGGACAGGCAAAGACUCGUCAAUCCACAGCCUGUGCAGAGCAAUCAUGAGCAGCCUGGAUCUACAAGGUAACUUCCUCCACAGUAAUUUCAAGUUUAACCAUGGGGUUAUAUCACAGGUCAUCUGAACACUCAGGCAGAGGCCAGCAUACCAGCAUGAUCGAGGUUAUCUUGGAGUCCACCAGCACUUGUGACAAAUUAAUUUAUUUCAAAUCAACACAUGAAGACUGAAGCCAAUUGAACAGCACUGCACUUGACCAAACACAGUUGAGAAGCACCCAGUCUUGAGCACAAUGACAUCAUGUCUUGGACACAGUACAGCCAUGUGUUUGCAGCUUCCAAGGAUCAUAUUCAUCAGGGAAGGAGACUUUAAAAGCUUCAGUCAUGCAAAAUACAGUUCUUAUACUAUAGACUAGAGGUCGUGUAUCUUCUUAAGCCACUGUGCUUAAUGAUUUUUAAUAUUCUCAGCUGUGUUCAGAGCCUUUUAUGGGACAGUUCAGAGAGAGUUAGAAAUCUCUUCAGCCUACACUAACAUGACUUCUCAAAGCCCCUCUCUGAAAAAACUGUCUGCAACAAGAAUGAGAGGUGUCAGCACAAGAAGCAGAAAGCUGAAUAUGGAAUCGUCUCCCUUUUGAAAACACUGGAAUAGCCACAGAUCUUCCUGCCACAAGAUUACUUUUUGUCCGAUAGACACAACAGCAACACAAUACAAUAAAUAAAUGCAAUGCUAACUGUAAGAUAUAAAUGUCAAGAUUAAAAAAAUGUACCUCUGUGCAUAAUUAUUAAAGUAUAUUACCUUGGAGUGCAUUACCAUGGAGAUCUACUACUCCACUGCCUUCAUAAAUUCAGGAGGCCCCUGGGAGAUCUGUUCCUUGCCUUUCGACCAUGCCUGUGGGACAUGCUGCUGUUUCUCCCUUGACACUAAUUCCACUGAUAUCAGGGGAUACACACAGAAAUGCACCAGGAUACAAACUCCACAUUAAGAGAAAUAAAGACUGUAUGAAUGAUCUCUUUUCUUACGCCCUGUCUAAGCCAUGGAGAGCUCUGCUUCAUCAGUGCCUUUACUCCUGAAUGUCAAAACAGGCUGUGGGACUGCCUGCCACCCCCAGAGCAAGAGACUACGAGAAAGGUUCCCCGGUGAAAAUCCCAGGCAUGGAUCCAACUGCUGAAUUAGGACAGAAGAGGAAAGACUUGUCUCUACCUGCUGUUGUGAGGAUUCACUUGUUCACAUUUUUCUUCCCUUCUGGAAAGAAAGACUGCGGAAAAAUUCCUCCCCCUUUCUUUUUGGUCUCCCAUUUAUUCAGAAAUUAGGUUGAGCAUUUGGGUCUAGCUGGUGCAAGAUCAGGCUUUCCAGUCCUCUGUUGCUCCACUAGCACCAAUUACCCGGAAGCAACAAAAAUCUCAGUCAUCAUCUGCUGCCAGAAGAUGUGAUUGCUGAAUGAUCCUCUUGUAUAUACAUAUUCACUGUUGCUACCGUGGCCACAAAAGAAGUUCUAUUCUGUAUUCUUAUUUUCAAUUUACUACAGAUCAUUUUCUUCCUUUUUUGUUUCCCAUAUUGAAAAAAUAAGGCUGUUUACUCUUUUUAUAGUGUCAUUACCCAACACUUGUGAGAAACGAAGCCCAUAAAUCCCCUCCUCCCCAGAAAUGGCAAGAUCCAUGCUGACUCUGGUUCAUCACUGUCCAAUGUUUAAUUCCCCAAUUUUAAUACAACAGUGUAAUUACUUUUUUUUUUUAAUUUU